UCAGAUUGAACGCUGGCGGCAUGCCUUACACAUGCAAGUCGAACGGCAGCACGGGAGCAAUCCUGGUGGCGAGUGGCGAACGGGUGAGUAAUAUAUCGGAACGUGCCCAGUCGUGGGGGAUAACGUAGCGAAAGCUACGCUAAUACCGCAUACGAUCUAUGGAUGAAAGCGGGGGAUCGCAAGACCUCGCGCGAUUGGAGCGGCCGAUAUCAGAUUAGGUAGUUGGUGGGGUAAAGGCCCACCAAGCCGACGAUCUGUAGCUGGUCUGAGAGGACGACCAGCCACACUGGGACUGAGACACGGCCCAGACUCCUACGGGAGGCAGCAGUGGGGAAUUUUGGACAAUGGGCGCAAGCCUGAUCCAGCAAUGCCGCGUGCAGGAUGAAGGCCUUCGGGUUGUAAACUGCUUUUGUACGGAACGAAACGGCGAGCUCUAAUACAGUUUGCUAAUGACGGUACCGUAAGAAUAAGCACCGGCUAACUACGUGCCAGCAGCCGCGGUAAUACGUAGGGUGCAAGCGUUAAUCGGAAUUACUGGGCGUAAAGCGUGCGCAGGCGGUUAUGUAAGACAGAUGUGAAAUCCCCGGGCUUAACCUGGGAACUGCAUUUGUGACUGCAUAGCUAGAGUACGGUAGAGGGGGAUGGAAUUCCGCGUGUAGCAGUGAAAUGCGUAGAUAUGCGGAGGAACACCGAUGGCGAAGGCAAUCCCCUGG
rnacentral:rRNA from 1 species